UACAGAGGGUGCGAGCGUUUAAUCGGAAUUACUGGGGCGUAAACGUGCGUAGACGGUCAUGUAAGUCGGAUGUGAAAAGCCCCGGGCUCAACCUGGGGAAAUUUGCAUUCGAGACUGCAUGGCUUGGGUGCGGGAAGAGGGAAGCGGAAUUUCCGGGUGUAGCGGUGAAAUGCGUAGAUAUCGGAAGGAACACCGUGGCGAAAGCGGCUUCCUGGUCCGACACCACGCAGGGCACAAAAAGCGUGGGGGGAGCCAAAACAGGGGAAUUUAGAAAAACCC
rnacentral:rRNA from 1 species